rnacentral:lncRNA from 1 species
UCUACAUAAUGUACUCAUACUGCUGUUUCUCAAUUUGUCAUUUGGGACUUAGUUUUCUUAGAGUUCAGUUCGGAAAACUGCAACCAUUCUAGGCAUUUAGAGUAGGGAAUUAGAUGAUUAUCAAAUUGUUAGUGGAGGGGCAGGCAACAAUUCAGUGGGAGGCAAAGGCCACACAGGACCGUUGGAUUCAAUGGCAUACCUUGCAGAGUGUGUGGCAAACUCAUCAAGUCCAGACUAGACAUUAUAGUGUGAAGUCUGCCCACUGCAAACACUCUUAUCUGUCCACCUUGUUUACCCACAGCCACAGUACAAAGAAAUGGACUUUCCCUCACUUCUGCCUUCCAAAUCUCGAGUAUGAUCUCCCACUCCUCUGGAGAAGAAUGAUAAGAGCAGGGAAUUCCCGAGUAGCAACUUUCAAGGAUGAAUCGACCCACUGCAAUUGCAUCUUAGCCAUUAACCAAUGACUCAGGACCUUGAUAUAACCUUGAAGCCUGUGGAUAUUGCAGUGAUACCUCUCCUGCAAGCGUGAGUGGUCUUCAUUUCUUCUCCAAGCAUCUUCUUUCUGUUUUUGCUGAGAAGGCUUCAUUCUCAUUGUUGUUCCAAUGAUUUUAAUAGACAUCUCCACGCUUCUUUCUCUCUCAAAGAAUGCUUAUAUUUGACUCAUACAUUCUGUCUUAUAGUUAACUUGGAACCAGUUCCCUAGGGCAAGACUGGUAGUCCCAUGUCACUUCUCACCAUCAACUCAUGCUCCAACAUGGAGCCUGAGCCAGGGAGCUGCUGCGCUAUCAGGAUUUAUGUAGCUGGGUC